GGUAUCCCAGCUGCUAAUUCCCCUCCUAACAGCCCUGCAGCGCCUGGAUUGGAGGUGUGACAGGUGGCAUUUUUGGCCCGAAGUCCCUAGGCAGGACGGGUGGCUGUAGCCUGCGCGUUUGUGUAAAUUAACCUCCCUUUUUAGUUCUGUGAAGGGAGAACGUGAUUAGUUUAAAAUCACCUGCGUGAAAGAGGCUCUUGAUUAGUUUAAAAUCACCCACGUGAAAGGGGCUCUUGAUUAGCUUAAAAUCACCUGGGUGUUUCGUUUUAUCUCAGUUGGCCUCUGAAUGUUUAUCCUACAGCUUCCUGCAAGCUCCAGUCUACCUUCUAAGGGAAUAACGGGGCUCGUCUUUCUACGUUACUUUAUGUGGGAGUAGUUGUAAAACAGAAUGAGGGAGACCGCGGGGAUUGUGCGGAAAUGUAGCCACCGUUUACAUGUCGGGAGGCUGAGGUGGGAGGAUCGCUUGAGCCCAGGAGUUUGACACCAGCCUGGGCAACAUGGUAAGACCCCUUCUCUACCCUCCCCCCCAAAAAAAAAAUUUUAGUGUGGCAUGGUGGUGGGUGCCUGUGGUCCCAGCUACUCGGGACGCUGAGGUGGGAGGAUUGCUUGAGCCCAGGAGUUUGACACCAGCAUGGGCAAUAUGGUAAGACCCCAUUAUCUACAAAAAAAAAAAAAAAAAAAGAAAAGAAAAAUUAGCCGGGCGUGGUGGUGGGUGCCUGUGGUCCCAGCUGCUCGGGACGCUGAGGUGGGAGGAUUGCUUGAGCCCAGGAGUUUGACACCAGCAUGGGCAAUAUGGUAAGACCCCAUUAUCUACAAAAAAAAAAAAAAAAAAGAAAAGCCGGGCGUGGUGGUGGGUGCCUGUGGUCCCAGCUGCUCGGGACGCUGAGGUGGGAGGAUUGCUUGAGCCCAGGAGUUUGACACCAGCAUGGGCAAUAUGGUAAGACCCCAUUAUCUACAAAAAAAAAAAAAAAAGAAAAGCCGGGCGUGGUGGUGGGUGCCUGUGGUCCCAGCUGCUCGGGACGCUGAGGUGGGAGGAUUGCUUGAGCCCAGGAGUUUGACACCAGCAUGGGCAAUAUGGUAAGACCCCAUUAUCUACAAAAAAAAAAAAAAAAGAAAAGCCGGGCGUGGUGGUGGGUGCCUGUGGUCCCAGCUGCUCGGGACGCUGAGGUGGGAGGAUUGCUUGAGCCCAGGAGUUUGACACCAGCAUGGGCAAUAUGGUAAGACCCUAUUAUCUACAAAAAAAAAAAAAAAAAAAAAGAAAGAAAAAUUAGCCUGGUGUGGUGGUGGGUGCCUGUGGUCCCAGCUGCUCGGGACGCUGAGGUGGGAGGAUUGCUUGAGCCCAGGAGUUUGACGCCAGCAUGGGCAAUAUGGUAAGACCCUAUUAUCUACAAAAAAAAAAAAAAAAAAAAAAGAAAGAAAAAUUAGCCUGGUGUGGUGGUGGGUGCCUGUGGUCCCAGCUGCUCGGGACGCUGAGGUGGGAGGAUUGCUUGAGCCCAGGAGUUUGACACCAGCAUGGGCAAUAUGGUAAGACCCCAUUAUCUACAAAAAAAAAAAAAAAAAAGAAAAGCCGGGCGUGGUGGUGGGUGCCUGUGGUCCCAGCUGCUCGGGACGCUGAGGUGGGAGGAUUGCUUGAGCCCAGGAGUUUGACGCCAGCAUGGGCAAUAUGGUAAGACCCUAUUAUCUACAAAAAAAAAAAAAAAAAAAAAAAAAGAAAGAAAAAUUAGCCUGGUGUGGUGGUGGGUGCCUGUGGUCCCAGCUGCUCGGGACGCUGAGGUGGGAGGAUUGCUUGAGCCCAGGAGUUUGACGCCAGCAUGGGCAAUAUGGUAAGACCCUAUUAUCUACAAAAAAAAAAAAAAAGAAAGAAAGAAAGAAAAAUUAGCCUGGUGUGGUGGUGGGUGCCUGUGGUCCCAGCUGCUCGGGACGCUGAGGUGGGAGGAUCACCUGAGCCCAGGAGGUGGAGGCUGCAGUGAGCUUAGAUUGCAGCACUGUGCUCCAGCCUGGGUGACAGAGUGAGACCCCAUCUCAAACAAGAAGCACCAAAAGGUGUCUGAGAUCAGGCACGGUGGCUCACGCCUGUCAUUCCAGCACUUUGGGAGGCCGAGGUGGGUGGAUCACCUGAGGUCAGGCAUUUGAGACCAGCCUGGCCAACAUGGAGAAACACUGACUCUACUAAAUGUGCAAAAAUUAGCCGGGCGUGGUGGCACACACCUGUAGUCCCAGCUACUCCAGAGGCUGAGGUAGGAGAAUUGCUUGAACCUGGGAGGUGGAGGUUGCAGUGAGCUGAGAUUGUACCACUGCACUCCAGCCUGGGAGCUGAGAUUGUACCACUGCACUCCAGCCUGGGCCCUAAAGCGAGAGCUUGACGGUGGGGUGGGGGUGUGGGAUGGACCUUCUGUGGUCCCAGCUACUCGGGAGGCUGAGGUGGGAGGAUCGCUUGAGCCCAGGAGUUUGACACCAGCAUGGGCAACAUGGUAAGAACCCAUAUCUACAAAAAAAAAAUUUAAAAAUUAGCCGGGUGUGGUGUGUGGGUGCCUGUGGUCCCAGCUACACCACGAGUGGAAUUGUGACGUGCACAGCCUGGGUAAAUGGGGUUAGCUAUAUUCACCCUGAAGGGGGCACAUACCCUAUUAUUUCUAACACCACUGAACUCAGAAUCGGGACCCAGAUUCGCCGGGGCAGCGCGGGACGAGGCCUCUCCCGGGCUCCGUCUUCCCUGUUAAUAGACUGAGAGACGGAAUGAGAGCUUCGAAGGUGCUGGGGGAGGAGCAUUGGGUGUCCCCAGGUGGUGAGCUUGGGUGUGUGUGUGUAGCCGACAGUCUCCCAGGCUCAGUAUUCCCUGUUAAUAGACUGAGAGACGGAAUGAGGGCGUCCCCAGGUGGUGAGCUCAGGGACGUGUGUGUGUGUGUGUGUGUGUGUGUGUGUGUGUGUGUGUGUGUAGCCGUCAAUCUCCUGGGCUCCUGGGUUCCGUCUGCCCUGUUCAUAGAGACAGAAUGAGGGCGUCCCCAGGUGGUGAGCUCAGGGACGUUGUGUGUGUGUGUGUGUGUGUGUGUGUGUGUGUGUGUGUGUGUAGCCGUCAAUCUCCUGGGCUCCUGGGUUCCGUCUGCCCUGUUCAUAGAGACAGAAUGAGGGCGUCCCCAGGUGGUGAGCUCAGGGACGUGUGUGUGUGUGUGUGUGUGUGUAACCAUCAAUCUCCUGGGCUCCUGGGUUCCGUCUGCCCUGUUCAUAGGGAUGGAAUGAGGGCGUCCCCAGGUGGUGAGCUCAGGGACGUUGUGUGUGUGUGUGUGUGUGUGUGUAACCAUCAAUCUCCUGGGCUCCUGGGUUCCGUCUGCCCUGUUCAUAGAGACGGAAUGAGGGCGUCCUCAGGUGGUGAGCUCAGGGACGUGUGUGUAGCCAUGAUUAUCCUUUAGUACCUGGUCCCCGUGCCCUCCAAGCCAUCCAAGGGCUUCAGGAGGCCGCGCAGAAGGAGGGUCGGUAAGCGAGUCCACGGACCACCACGCAGGCCCUGACCCCGCCAGGGGCCCUUUGGAGGGUGAGCCCUGCGUGUUGGGGGGAUGAUGGCUCCGGAGGGUGAGCUCUGGGAUGAGAGGGGACGUGCAGGUGGCCGCAUUGCAGACACAGCUGGCUCGGGACCUGGGCGCCAUCUGCCGUCGACUCAGCUCGCUCCUGAGCUGUGCCUCUUCCUUGCCUCACGUUGGAGAUAAAAAGCCAUAGAUGGCCGGGGGCGGUGGCUCAGGCCUGUCAUCCCAGCACUGUGGGAUACCAGCGCAGGAGGGUUGCCUCAGCUCAGGGGUUCGAGACCAGCCUGGCCAGCAUAGCGAGACCCUCUUCUCUG
rnacentral:lncRNA from 1 species